rnacentral:rRNA from 1 species
UACAGAGGUCUCAAGCGUUGUUCGGAUUCAUUGGGCGUAAAGGGUACGUAGGUGGUGGGGUAAGUCGGAUGUGAAAUCCCGGGGCUCAACCCCGGAACUGCAUUCGAAACUGCCUUGCUCGAGUACUGGAGAGGAGACUGGAAUUUACGGUGUAGCAGUGAAAUGCGUAGAUAUCGUAAGGAAGACCAGUGGCGAAGGCGAGUCUCUGGACAGUUACUGACACUGAGGCACGAAGGCCAGGGGAGCAAACGGG